rnacentral:rRNA from 1 species
GAUGAACGCUGGCGGCGUGCCUAAUACAUGCAAGUCGAGCGAAUGAAGAGGAGCUUGCUCCUCUGAUUUAGCGGCGGACGGGUGAGUAACACGUGGGUAAUCUGCCUGUAAGACGGGGAUAACUCCGGGAAACCGGGGCUAAUACCGGAUAAUAAGAAGAAACGCAUGUUUCUUUUUUGAAAGUCGGUUUCGGCUGACACUUACAGAUGAGCCCGCGGCGCAUUAGCUAGUUGGUGAGGUAACGGCUCACCAAGGCGACGAUGCGUAGCCGACCUGAGAAGGUGAUCGGCCACACUGGGACUGAGACACGGCCCAGACUCCUACGGGAGGCAGCAGUAGGGAAUCUUCGGCAAUGGGCGAAAGCCUGACCGAGCAACGCCGCGUGAGCGAUGAAGGCCUUCGGGUCGUAAAGCUCUGUUGUUAGAGAAGAACAAGUACGAGAGUAACUGCUCGUACCUUGACGGUACCUGACCAGAAAGCCACGGCUAACUACGUGCCAGCAGCCGCCGUAA